CCUGAUGAGAACACUGAUGAGAAUAUUACAUCUAGGGCUUUCUGCAUCUAAAACUGGGCAUGAACUUCAUGGGAACUUUUAUGCCAACAACCUGACAGGAUCCAGUUCCAAUGAGAAUACCAUCCACAGUUUUAAUGGUUGCUUUGGAGGUACCUUGUCUGUUUCCUUUCACUCAUUUCCACCAGCCAUAUUUGUGACUUACUGACUUACAAAUAUGCAGAGGGGUAAAGAAUGAUGGAUGGGUGACAUUGUUCAAGACACAUAAUAUCCCAUGAAUUGGCUCAUUGAAGUUAAGUCCUUUUGUACUACUAAAAGAUAAUACAAAUAUUUAUUACUAAAGUCUUUAAAAAAAGAAUAUACUCACACAGAAAUGGUCUACUUACAAAUUAAAUGAUAAUGUGUUAGAAUAUAUAAAUAGAAAUUUGUUGCCUAUAAUUAGUGAAAAAAUGAUUAGGACAUUAAAGAAUUAUAAUGUUAAUUGUUUAUGUAA